rnacentral:tRNA from 1 species
UAAAAGGUAAGCUAAUAAAGCUAUUGGACUCAUACCCCUAUUAUAAAGGAUUCCCUUUCCUUUUUA